rnacentral:rRNA from 1 species
CCUACGGGAGGCUGCAGUGGGGAAUAUUGCACAAUGGGCGAAAGCCUGAUGCAGCAACGCCGCGUGAGGGAUGACGGCCUUCGGGUUGUAAACCUCUUUUAGUAGGGAAGAAGCGUAAGUGACGGUACCUGCAGAAAAAGCACCGGCUAACUACGUGCCAGCAGCCGCGGUAAUACGUAGGGUGCAAGCGUUGUCCGGAAUUAUUGGGCGUAAAGAGCUCGUAGGCGGCUUGUCGCGUCUGCUGUGAAAACCCGGAGCUCAACUCCGGGCCUGCAGUGGGUACGGGCAGGCUAGAGUGCGGUAGGGGAGAUUGGAAUUCCUGGUGUAGCGGUGGAAUGCGCAGAUAUCAGGAGGAACACCGAUGGCGAAGGCAGAUCUCUGGGCCGCUACUGACGCUGAGGAGCGAAAGCAUGGGGAGCGAACAGGAUUAGAUACCCUUGUAGUCC